rnacentral:rRNA from 1 species
UACGUGGUGGCGAGCGUUAUCCGGAAUUAUUGGGCGUAAAGAGCGCGCAGGUGGUUGAUUAAGUCUGAUGUGAAAGCCCACGGCUUAACCGUGGAGGGUCAUUGGAAACUGAUCGACUUGAGUGCAGAAGAGGGAAGUGGAAUUCCAUGUGUAGCGGUGAAAUGCGUAGAGAUAUGGAGGAACACCAGUGGCGAAGGCGGCUUCCUGGUCUGUAACUGACACUGAGGCGCGAAAGCGUGGGGAGCAAACAGGAUUAGA